CAUGUUUUAUCGGUAUAAAGUUCACAUAAGACCUGUUUGCCUUGAUGUAUGAGUUUGUUUAGUCUAGUUCUACCUGUCAUUUGUAUACUGAAUAAUGUGAAUGCCAAAUUAAUUUGGUAACGAGGUUGUUUCCAAAUAGUUUGUACUCAUUUCUGGCAGCAUUUUGAAUGACAAUAUAGUAUAGUUAUGUUUUUAUUGUUUCAGUCUACACUAUUGUGUUGUUAAGCAUGUACUCCCUUCGUUUUUAUUUACUUCACGUAUUAGCUUUGUCUCGAGUCAAACUUUCUAAACUUUGACCUAAUUUAUACAAAAAAAUAUUAAUAUCCACAAUACCAAAUCAAUACCAUUAGAAUCACCAUUCAAUAUAUUUUCAUACCAUAAAUAUUUUCUUAUUAUGAAAAUUUAGAUUGAUUUUGAUAAACUUGGUCAAACUUUAUAAUGUUUGACUUAAUAUACUUAAUGAACUCAAAUACCUUAGUCAUUGCCCACACACGUUGAGAAAGCUAGUUUGUACUACUGUUUAUCUUAUGUUUGCAUGUUUUAUCGGUGUAAAGUUCACAUAAUACCUGUUUGCCUUGAUGUAUGAGUUUGUUUAGUCUAGUUCUACCUGUCAUUUGUAUACUGAAUAAUGUGAAUGCCAAAAUUAAUUUGGUAACAAGGUUGUUUCCAAAUAGUUUGUACUCAUUUCUGGCAGCAUUUUGAAUGACAAUAUAGUAUAGUUAUGUUUGUAUUGUUUCAAUCUACACUAUUGUGUUGUUAAGCAUGUACUCCCUUCGUUUUUAUUUACUUCACGUAUUAGCUUUGUCUCAAGUCAAACUUUCUAAACUUUGACCUAAUUUAUACAAAAAAAUAUUAAUAUCCACAAUACUAAAUCAAUACCAUUAGAAUCACCAUUCAAUAUAUUUUCAUACCAUAAAUAUAUUUUUAUUAUGAAAAUUUAGAUUGUUUUUGAUAAACUUGGUCAAACUUUAUAAUGUUUGACUUAGGUCAAAGCUAAUAUGCUGAGUAAAUAAAAACGGAUGGAGUAGUUUGCAUUCAUUUAAUUAAAUUCAAGUGCAAGUCCUAUAAUCAUUGCUUAAGAUAUUUUUACUUUUGCAUAAAAACAUUUUUAUACCGUGACUUAUAUAGUAUAUUUACCUCAAUUUUUUAAUUUGCAUGUUUUUUUUCUUAUUCCUUGAUGGGUCACUUCAUGUCCUUCAUGCUUUUAAUUCCAACUGUUUCACUGUCUGUUUUGCUACUUCCGUUAGUUUUAUCUUUGUGUGACUCUAGGUUUAUAUAGAAUUUGUUAACCACCUUACUUGAAAUGUGUAAAAUUUGAUCUCAACUUUAGCUGAUAAUAAGUUAAUAACCUGUCUUGGUAGCUUUUAUUGGAUUUUUUGUCUCCAGCAUAUAAUUGAGAAUAUUUCUCGUAAAAAUAUACCAAAGUAAUUUCAUAGAUAAAUCUCAAUGAUCUCAUAUUAUGAUUCAAGCAAGUGUAUGUAGAGUCUAAUUGUUUAUUUCACCUGAUUUGUUUCAGUUUUUGAUUAAAAAUUGGUAGGGAAGGCAUUUUGACCCUUUUGUCACUGUUAUUUGUUGUGCCACAGUGUUAGAGUUCCUUGUUCCAUACUUGUUUGUUGUUAUGUGCUACUCCACAGCUUUCAAUUUGUCAUGAAUUCAACUAGACUUCGUUUUUCCUUUUUGAAUGAAUUGGUGGUAGAAAGCAUUUUGACCUUUUUUGGCGCUGUUUUGUGCUACUCCACAGCUUUCAAUUUCCUUCUUUCAUACUUGUUUGUCUAAACUUUAUCUAGUUGUGCAUCCGUCAUGAAUUCGGAUGAAGUCUGAAUGUAAGUUAUGCCAUGAAUUCAGAUAACAGUUUAGGGUUACUGACUAAAAGGGAGUUUAGGGUUGUAAAACCAUUAUUUCUUUUUAUUUAUGUUAUUGAGCUGUACUGUGUGUUGCUCAUCUUAUAUCCUUUUACUUCUGUGAGGUAAUUUUUAGUCCAUAUCAUAGUCAAGUCUUUGAGUUCACAUUUCAGUUACUAUGCUCUUCUAAGCUUUGAUGCCUAUAUUUCUGCAAAUAAGUACAAAGGUUAUUACCAUCAUCACUUCUUUUAGUAGCUCUGGUAGGUUCAUUAGUACUAUGCUAUAUCUGAAAUGUGAAGUUCGUACAUUUAACUUUUCUUUAUAUCUUUCUACGUUGUACAACUAGGUCAAACAUUUUGACUCGUGGUAUGUUAUUAGUAUCCCAUCGUCAAGUUAAUUUGGUAAAAAGGAAGUUUCGUUGUUGUAGUAUUAUGUUAAGUAUGGAUCUUUUUUCUAAGACAGUGCACUGUGAAUUAGCUAAUUUGGUGUGUGACUGAAUUUCUAGUGUGAUUGUGUACACUGUCAUUAUGUGAAGUGUUAAUUUUGCAUGUUGACCUUAUGUCUGGCUUUUUCGAGAAAACGCAGAGAGUGCGUUUCUUUGUAUUGAAAAGGUAGAAAGUCAGUCUCAGAGGAGACGGUUACAACAGAUUACAUGCAAU
rnacentral:lncRNA from 1 species